UGCAGUGGCCUGUUCAGUGGUGUGCAGGUAACAGCACUAUUUGGAAGUGACAGGACCCGAAAUGGAUUCAAGCCAGCUUCUGUGUGGGAGAACGGACAGAAUGCUGACUAUGAGGAACUAGACCCCCCUGAGGAGACAGCGCUUCUGUGUGUGUGUGUGUGUGUGUGUGUGUGUGUGUGUGCAUGUGUGCAUGUGUGUACUACGGCAACAUAUACAUGUGAAUCCUGUUCAAAUAUCCUAGUUCCAUCUAAUGGCAAUGAGAGAAAAUACAAAAGAGAAGAGAGGCAACAGAUCUCACACUGCCCUCAUUGACGGUGGAAGUGAGCUGAUGGGCGACAAUGGCUCUUUAACCUUCAUUACUCCACUUCAGUCCCGGAACAGAAGAAGCACAAGUGGCUCCAGUGCUUCAUUAAAAACGUUUGUAAUUUCUGUCAUUGAUUUCUCAUUAAGGCUUUUUAAAUUUACACUUGAAAAUA